GAGGGUAUAGCUCAGUGGUAGAGUGCGUGCUUAGCAUGCAUAAGGUCCUGAGUUCAAUCCCCAAUACCUCCA
rnacentral:tRNA from 1 species